rnacentral:rRNA from 1 species
GGACAACUCGGGAAACCGGAGCUAAUACCGGAUAAGAUAUCGAACCGCAUGGUUCGAUAGUGAAAGAUGGUUUUGCUAUCACUUAUAGAUGGACCCGCGCCGUAUUAGCUAGUUGGUGAGGUAACGGCUCACCAAGGCAACGAUACGUAGCCGACCUGAGAGGGUGAUCGGCCACACUGGAACUGAGACACGGUCCAGACUCCUACGGGAGGCAGCAGCC